CAGCCGGGGGGAGGAGCACUAGCCCGGCCAGUCAGCCCGGGAAGCUCCAGCUCGAACUCUGGAGGAACCCGUACUGAAUCCUAAUCAGUGAGAGUUCCUCCGGAGUCAGAGAGCUGGGGAUGGUGUCUGGCAUAAAGAUCGAACGAGGUUCAUCUACAGAACUAAGAUUUUGGGGGCUUGAAAUGGACAAAUUCCUAGAACUGCUGG
rnacentral:lncRNA from 1 species